UCGGGCUCCGGGUGACUAACUUCUCCCGGCCACCAGCAGAGAGCAACCGCUUAUCGCCAUAGGCCUUGACCUGCCUUCAUUCUCAGAAAUUCCUUUUAGAAGAAAAAGAAUACUUUCGGCGGAAGGAAGAUUGGUGCUUAUUAGUACGCGGGUGGCAUUAUCACUGCUACUCAUUUUCUCUGACCUCUUUGUUUCCUCUAAUUAUCAUUCUAAGAAGGGAGAAGGAAAACCCCA
rnacentral:lncRNA from 1 species